UACAGAGGUGGCAAGCGUUGUUCGGAAUUACUGGGCGUAAAGGGCGAGUAGGUGGCCAUCUAAGUCAGACGUGAAAUCCCCCGGCUUAACCUGGGAACUGCGUCUGAUACUGGACGGCUAGAGUUUGGGAGAGGGAUGCAGAAUUCCAGGUGUAGCGGUGAAAUGCGUAGAUAUCUGGAGGAACACCAGCGGCGAAGGCGGCGCUCUGGGCCGGUACUGACGCUGAGGAGCGAAAGCGUGGGGAGCAAACAGG
rnacentral:rRNA from 1 species